AUUGAACGCUGGCGGCAUGCCUUACACAUGCAAGUCGAACGGCAGCGGGGGAGAAGCUUGCUUUUCCUGCCGGCGAGUGGCGAACGGGUGAGUAAUACAUCGGAACGUGCCCUGUAGUGGGGGAUAACUAGUCGAAAGAUUAGCUAAUACCGCAUACGACCUGAGGGUGAAAGUGGGGGACCGCAAGGCCUCAUGCUAUAGGAGCGGCCGAUGUCUGAUUAGCUAGUUGGUGGGGUAAAGGCCUACCAAGGCGACGAUCAGUAGCUGGUCGGGGAGGACGAUCAGCCACACUGGGACUGAGACACGGCCCAGACGCCUACGGGAGGCAGCAGUGGGGAAUUUUGGACAAUGGGCGAAAGCCUGAUCCAGCAAUGCCGCGUGUGUGAAGAAGGCCUUCGGGUUGUAAAGCACUUUUGUCCGGAAAGAAAUGGCUCUGGUUAAUACCUGCGGUCGAUGACGGUACCGGAAGAAUAAGGACCGGCUAACUACGUGCCAGCCGCCGCCGUAA
rnacentral:rRNA from 1 species